AUUUAAUAAUUCAUCAUAAGAAAAUUCUUCUUGAAAAUUAUUUGAUGUAAGAGUAGAUUCAGUUUUUACCUUGUCUUCUUGUGCCAUAAAGCACAAGUCAGUUACCUCUUGUAGUUUCUUGGAGCUAAUAUCAUCAUUGUCGCUCCUAACUUUUAUUUUCUGGCUUGACUCUUUCUUGGUCAAGGCUUUCUUCCUUUUUAUCUCUUUCUUCCUGUUGCCCAGUAGAUACAACCCAAGAGGGGGGGUGAAUUGGGUCUUUUAAAACUUUUAUGCUACUUCUGAAACUUUUUGAUUAACUAUGCUAAGUUGUAUAGAUGCACAGUGAAAGUUAAACUUAGC
rnacentral:lncRNA from 1 species